rnacentral:rRNA from 1 species
AGAGACAGCAGCAGCCGCGGUAAUACGAAGGGGGCUAGCGUUGUUCGGAAUUACUGGGCGUAAAGCGCACGUAGGCGGAUAUUUAAGUCAGGGGUGAAAUCCCAGAGCUCAACUCUGGAACUGCCUUUGAUACUGGGUAUCUUGAGUAUGGAAGAGGUGAGUGGAAUUCCGAGUGUAGAGGUGAAAUUCGUAGAUAUUCGGAGGAACACCAGUGGCGAAGGCGGCUCACUGGUCCAUUACUGACGCUGAGGUGCGAAAGCGUGGGGAGCAAACAGGAUUAGAUACCCCAGUAGUCCCUGUCUCUUAUAA